UACGUAGGGUGCAAGCGUUGUCCGGAAUUAUUGGGCGUAAAGAGCUCGUAGGCGGUUUGUCGCGUCUGCUGUGAAAACUCAGGGCUUAACUCUGAGCUUGCAGUGGGUACGGGCAGACUAGAGUGCGGUAGGGGAGACUGGAAUUCCUGGUGUAGCGGUGAAAUGCGCAGAUAUCAGGAGGAACACCGGUGGCGAAGGCGGGUCUCUGGGCCGGUAAAGCUGACGCUGGAGGAGCGAAAGC
rnacentral:rRNA from 1 species